AGCAGCCGCCGCGGUAAAACGGAGGGUGCAAGCGUUAAUCGGAAUUACUGGGCGUAAAGCGCACGCAGGCGGUCUGACAAGUCAGAUGUGAAAUCCCCGGGCUUAACCUGGGAACUGCAUUUGAAACUGUCAGGCUGGAGUCUUGUAGAGGGGGGUAGAAUUCCAGGUGUAGCGGUGAAAUGCGUAGAGAUCUGGAGGAAUACCGGUGGCGAAGGCGGCCCCCUGGACAAAGACUGACGCUCAGGUGCGAAAGCGUGGGGAGCAAACAGGAUUAGAUACCCGAGUAGUCCCUGUCUCUUAUAC
rnacentral:rRNA from 1 species